rnacentral:lncRNA from 10 species
CAGCCACACAAGUUGGUGGUGUUUAAAUUCACUGUGUUCUUGGCAGAACCCAAACUCUGCCCACCUGGGGAAACUGCCCCUGUCAUUCUGCUGGAGCUGGCAGCUGGAGGGGAGGUUGGAGAUUUGGUGAUAACUUCUCCGAUAUUCCAUCUACGAGGAGAAGGCCAGGCAGGGAGCAGCUGCGACUGCAAAUACCAGGCCACAGGGCAGCUUCUCGCUGGAGUGCAGAAGGCCUCUGGAGGGGCAGCUAGUGGUGUCCCCUGCUGCCUUCUGGGGCCUGCUGGGAUUGUACCUCUAAUGUCCAUCUGGUCGGUGGGGCCACGCGAUGAGUCCAGAGUUGUGAGCAGAUGUGCAUCAUCUGGGAGUGGGGCAUUUAUUUGCCGAGAUCAGGAAACUGAGGCUCAAG